UGGGGAAUAUUGCGCAAUGGGCGAAAGCCUGACGCAGCGACGCCGCGUGGGGGAUGAAGGUCUUCGGAUUGUAAACCCCUUUCGGGAGGGAAGAUGGAAUGGGGUAACCCAUUCGGACGGUACCUCCAGAAGCAGCCACGGCUAACUUCGUGCCAGCAGCCGCGGUAAUACGAAGGUGGCAAGCGUUAUUCGGAUUUACUGGGCGUACAGGGAGCGUAGGCGGUUCGGUAAGCCCUUUGUGAAAUCUCCAGGCUUAACCUGGAAAAGUCGGAGGGGACUGCCGGGCUAGAGGACGGGAGAGGAGCGCGGAAUUCCCGGUGUAGCGGUGAAAUGCGUAGAGAUCGGGAGGAAGGCCGGUGGCGAAGGCGGCGCUCUGGAACGUUUCUGACGCUGAGGCUCGAAAGCGUGGGGAGCAAACAGGAUUAGAUACCCCGGUAGUCCCUGAGCGGGCUGGCAAGGCGCAU
rnacentral:rRNA from 1 species